CGACGAAUCUUCCGCAAUGGGCGCAAGCCUGACGGAGCAAUGCCGCGUGUGGGAUGAAGCAGCUCUGCUGUGUAAACCACUGUCAGGUCCUAGGAAUCAUGACCGGGGCCAGAGGAAGGGCCGGCUAAACUCGUGCCAGCAGCCGCGGUAAUACGAGUGGCCCGAGCGUUAAUCGGAAUCACUGGGCUUAAAGGGUGCGCAGGCGGACCAGCAAGCAUCUCGUGAAAGCCCACGGCUUAACCGUGGAACUGCGGGGUGAACUGCUGGUCUUGAGGCAGGUAGGGGUCAACGGAACCAUCGGUGGAGCGGUGAAAUGCGUAGAUAUCGAUGGGAACGCCAAUGGCGAAGGCAGUUGACUGGGCCUGUUCUGACGCUGAGGCACGAAAGCGUGGGGAGCAAACAGGAUUAGAUACCCCCGUAGUCC
rnacentral:rRNA from 1 species